UCCCUUAGUAACGGCGAGCGAACCGG
rnacentral:snRNA from 1 species